rnacentral:lncRNA from 1 species
UCGUGAAAUUGAAAUCCAAUAGACAUAGUUGCGAGAAUUAGUAAAACCUCGCAUUGUCGCAUUGUCGCCCGGUGUAGGGGGAUAAUUUCUUACUACAUCGCUGUGGUAUUGAUAAAUAGUACCCAGGAAGAAUUACAUCGAUCAAUUUGUCCGGAAAUUUAAUCCCAAGCGACAGUGAGUUGAGGUCAAAAUGAAUUUAAUUCAAAUUGAGACACAUUGUCACCAAACUUGAUGGCUAACGUAUAUCAGGACCUACCUUAGGAAUGUAUGUCAGGUCGCUAAGUAAAACUAAAGGUAUGUGACAUGAAAUACAGCUUCCCAUGAAUGUACUCCAACAAUAGUACUAUUUAGGCUAUCAUCAGUACCCAGGUUGUAGACGCUGGCAGCAUAUUCUGGAUUCCUGGGACACUUGGACGAUGCCCACAGUUCAACCUAAUGACACAAAUGUUUGGUCCACAAUCACCGUUUCCAGAGGACUGUGUUCUCUUUGGAGACAAGAUUUAUCUCAACAAACAUUCGCCUAUGACGCCGUUCACAUCGGCACAGUUAGGACGACAAAAUGACCGAGAGCGUAGGAAGCGUGCCAAAUUCAACAAUCUUGUACAAAAGUGUCAAGCAACAAUUGAACAUUCAAUAUAGCAGAAAUGAAAUGCUACAAAGCUGUUAUUCAGUAUCGUGGAAGCAGAGGAAAACACUGCCAAGAGUUAUAAAGAUAUGCUGUGCCUUGAUAAUUAGGCGGAAACAUUUAAAGUUAUUUGAUGUUUUAAAAAACUAAAACGAAUCCCUGUGGUUUUUGAAAUGGAUUUUGUUUUGAGAAAUGCCCCAUAUUAUGACCAUAGUACAUAGUACGUCUGCAUUGUCCGUGUCCGUUGUAAAGGUUUAAAAUAAUUUCAUUUAUUUGAUUUAAAACGUGGAGUAUCGCACACAUGAUUUUAUUGUUUACAUAUUUUGAAAAUUUCGGCGCGAGCAUCGGAAAUGACCUUCCUAUUAUUGAUUAUCGUUACGCUACGGUUGGUUGGCAAUAGAUUAUCGUCAUGCAUCUAUUUUUAAAUGUUGGGAAAUCACCUUCCUGAAUUAAGUGGAGCGGUCCAUUACAUAAGCGGAUGUGCAGCCUUAUAAAAAGCGUUUGCCUCAUACGUCUCAAUCAUAUUAUUUAAACAAACGUUGACAACUCAUCGAAAGAAGAACAAUAAGCUGAAGAUAUCUAUUGUCAUGCAAACUAGAGUCAUCGCUUACUUACUGAUAAGCCUUAUAGUCCUACAAAUGAUGUUAGAAACUGCUGGUCGGCCACAUAUGAACUGUUGCAGGUUCAGAAGAUGUCCACGAGGAAGAAGCUGCGUUAAUAUUGGUUCUCGAUGUCGUUGCAAGACCAAUCGGGUUAUUUCGACUUUUCUCGUUAUGCUUAAAGGACCUGCGAAAAGACACAGGUACUAGAACUGAACUGUCAGACCAGACUAGUGAUAUCGGUCUUUUCAACUGUGAUAAUUAAUUUAUAUAUACUGUGAUGUAAUCUCGUCGCGCCAUUAUUGGAGGCAAUAUGCUCUGGUCACAUCACACUUUAGUCUUGUACGGUACCUUUAGACUGCGAUGUGAAUAAAGUUCACUGAGAUACGAGUUCUGCUCGUUUGAUAUUUACAUGAACUGAGAUGUGACCUGUACAUAUUUGGAUGGAUUCCGACCUCUGCACCCUUUGCGAUAUGAUAAAAAGAAUGUUUUGCUUUGGUAAGACAACAGAAUUCCGCACGCCAUAUGAACUGUACGUGUUGUGAAAUGAACUAUUCUGUCCGGAAGUUCUCUACUGUUGUAUGUGCACUGCAUACUGUAACGUGAAAAAAACACGAAAUGCGAUGUACGAACUCAAAACACAAGUAAGAUGUGAAUUCAUCAAAAUGCAAUAUUUAAUAUCAAUUCUAGUCAUUCGGAUAGUGAUAUACCUGCCAUUGCGGUACAUCCUCUAGUCAUUACAGUAACUGUGACAUUUAACUGCCUAUACCUACUGAAACAUUUUACAUAUCUUUUAAAUGAAAAUAUUUGUAAUUAUAUGAAAGCAUAUGUUUUACAUUUUACUUAUUGUUGUGUGUACUACAUUAAUAUACAGCUGGUCAGUAUAUUUUAUUUUUAAAUCUAUCUCAUUAUAUUUUAUUGUGUCAAAUUUGUUUUACAUAGUUUCGUCAGUUUUUACAGUAUUUUAUUUCUAGUAAAAUUUUAAACUUUA